rnacentral:misc_RNA from 1 species
AUGCUGUUGAGCCAGCAAAAUCUGUAUUUGAGACAAAGGCUAAAAUUCGCCGUGCUACUGAAGCUGCAGGGAUCCCCUACACUUAUGUGCCCUGCAACUUCUUUGCCAGCUUCAUCCUCCCCAUAUUGCUAAAAUCAGGAGGCAGUAAAGUCACUAUCCUAGGAGAUGGCAAUGUCAAAGCAAUUUUUAACAAGGAAGAUGACAUUG